AGAACAUCAAGAACAACAUCACAGACUGAUGACCCAGGUGCAGCUCUGGUGUGGCCGUACAUCCUCGUGGCUGUUAUUUCAGCAGCACUUUUAAUCUUUGCUGUGAAACUGAUUGUACUGAAGAGAGGGACCAAAACACAAGCCAAUGAAAAUGCGGAUCAUGAAGAUGGUGUUUCCUACAUCUCCAUCAGCUACACCAACAAGGCUAACAGUGAAAAUAAAGUUCGGGAUAAAUGUGAGAGUGAUGAGACAGUUACCUACUCCACUGUGAAAGCUUCCUCCACAGAUCCCAGCAGCCUCUAUGCUACCAUAGAGUAAACAAAAAGGAAACUUAAUCAUCAGGUCAUUGCUUCUGUGAAAAAGCUUCGUCCCUAUAAGAAUUAUCGGUUUGCUCAGUUUAAAAGGAGGAAGCAGUUGUGUGAGUGCUUAAAGAGCAGAAUUUGUAACAUUUGAAAGGCUUUCAGUUUUAUUUUAUCUUUUGUUCAAAGUUUUGAAAUGAUGUACAUAGAUGUGUUUAUUUUGCUAUUUGCCUGUAAAUUUUCUAAAACUGCAGUAAUUUAUAAGUUUAGUUUCAUUUUUUCCAUAAACAAUUAUUCAAACAUUUGUGUCUCAUUACUCUAAGCAUCAA